UCUUGUUGGUGAAGCUUUCUUCUGUGAACCUUCUGAUUCAGAUGGAGAAAAAAUGGUGGAAUGACCUUCUAAAGGCCGCAGAAGGAGUUGAAACUGAGAUGAGAUCAAGGAGCUCCUGACUACCCUGCCCCCAGGGAAAACAUCAGAUUGUUCUGCAUCUCUCUUCUGCAACUAUUGCACUGACAAAGGCCUUUUGCCACACUCACAUAAGCGUGUCUACAAGAUGGAUUUUUAUGACUGCAGUGGAAUUUGGGAGAUGGCCGGGACACUUUGGUUUCCAGCAAUCCCAUAUCAUACUUCCCUCAUGUGCUUCUCUCUCUCCUGCCUCUAUGCAUUUUUCAAUAAACCGGCAAAAUUACCCAUGAGCAAGGCUGUAAGGGACAGCACAGAGCCAGUGAAAUCAUACGCCUCCUGUGCUUGUAUAGUUAGCAGCAAGUGUAUAUAACACAGCCCUGCCCUUCCUCUUCUAAUGAAAGUGGCUCGCCACCAGGUAGGUGAUCUGCUGCCAAAGGAGAUUAAUCUCCGCUUUUAGAACGUGUUUUGGGGUUGGAAGGGAUAUCAGCCGCUUUGAUAUGUUUUUAACAUCAUCUAAAGCGUAGCCAAGGGAUACAAUCGUACCCUUGAGAGAGCGAAGGUACAAUACGUAGCUAAGUGCCUCUAAUCCACAGUAGCAUGAUUAUCUAUUGAUAACUGCCUCCUCCCCUUCAGCUGUCCUCCCGAUCUUGAGUUUGGUUAAUAAAAACAAAUGAAUUCAGCAUGCCACGGCAUAGAGGAACGAACGUGUUUUAGGGGUAUUGAGGCAGGGAAAGGUUAACUGUUCUGUUUUGUUUUCUUUUCUUUUAAUGCAAAACCCAACUGGCGCGGUGAUCUCCAGAUAUGCACAAAUACCGAUGCCAGAUAUUCACUCGCACAGACAAAAGUAAUACAAGUACAAAAGGGAAGGCUGGGGUGGAGGAAGGGGAAAUGGCUGGGGCCAAGAACUUGAAGCCAAUUCUUGCCACGAUGUACUCUUACUGCCUUUGUGAUCCUGAGCAAGCCUUUUAGAUUAAAUUUAAUAGUGAGGACUGGAUCCAAUGUCUGAUACUAAUUAGAAAACAAAAGGCCCUUUCACCUUCCGCUACUAAAUUCGCCUGAAGUUAUUUAUCUGUAGUUAAUUCUGUACUAUUGUAUCCUAAAGUCAGACUUCAGGACAGAUGAAGCCCUGUAGUUGCAAUUGACAUCUGUAGGAUAUUUAGUUUGAUAAUAUUGCUCAUGAUAACUUCACGGAUCAUUUUCUUUUUUUUUUUUUGUGAUUAAGGAAAAGCAGUAACACCCUUGUUUUACACCACCUCCACAAAGUUAUGAGAAGGUGUACAAUUUUGUAUGGUUUUUCUAAGAAAUGGAAGAUCUUCCAAGCAAGGCUCAAGAAAGAGAAUCACCCUAUAAGUCAGUGUUGGAAACGCAGACUGGAAAAUCAAGUGCCGACUUUGCAUUGUCGCAGAUAAUAGAUGGUGAAUGGUGGGCUCAAGUUUAGUGACAUGCACUUCGGCUGUGCAGAGUUACUCGUGUUAGACUACUGUAACAUGAAAAGGAUCGUUCACGUGGCACAGCAAGAUGGUACAGAUAGAUGCAUGCACCACACAGCCAUUUAUUUGGCUUUAGUCCGUUCCUCGCUGGGAAUUAAACUGAGAAGAAAUUCUCUUCCAAGGUUUGAAAAGCAUCUGCAGAAGUUAGAAACUCCUAGGGAAAAAAAAACAAAAAAAACAAAAAAGAAAAACACAAACACAAAACAGCUUAUUUGUUCAUCCAUCAUAUUUUCCAGGCAACUGUUCUCUUGAGGAACAUGCAAACGAAUAGCCAAGAGUGAGUGGCGGAAAAGAUACACGUAUAUGAAUUCCUUAAAGCAAGGCACGUCUUGGAGCUGCUUUCAUGUUCUUUCCUGAUGCUGGCGAGGGUGGGGCAGAAGUCUGGGAAGAAAUCAGUUGGCCUGGGAAGGCAUGGGCCCUACUUAAGAAAACAAAAAUUCCUGGAGGUAUGCCUUGUUCAGCCAUUGCAAGUGUCCUCAGAGGCCAAGCACUACUAUCACGUUCAUUUGAUGGCUCUUAAACUACAUUAAACUGUCCAAAGGCACCCAACCAAACAUCACAGUAAAACAAAAAUCAAUUGAUCACAUGCCCAGGCAACACUUACCAUGGGCUGUACUUAUUUUGGAUAAAGAGCUACGAGGAAGUUUUUUUAAAAGAAUGCCCCGAAGGUAACAAGCACUUAGCAAGAUAUUUAAAAAAAACAACCACGGCACUCCGGCUUAAGGCAGCCAUUGCAAAAAAAGUCCCAAUAAUCUGAUCUCUGACAAAGGAGGGCCUGUCAGGUCGGUAACCCAGAACUGAGGUAAGGGUUUCAUAUAACAAUACUGCUUGACGUGGUAUUCAUUUUCAACCUACAGUGGUAAAAGUUCAAUCUAACAGCAGCUGUCAAAUACCUUUGGCUAAUCCCCCGUAGCUGCUAUGAUACAAUUUUGGUGGUGUGAAACUUGGCAUCACCUGACCCCAACAAGGCCACAGCACUGUUAACGCUUUGCCUUUGGGAGGCACACGAGCGGGUCAGAGUGGCUACAAAUUUCCCUUUAGAUAUUUAGGAGAAAGACCUGCUCACGCUACAGACCACAGCUCUGCUGUGCUCUGUGCCACAGUAGUGCAGAAAUGUGUUUCUUUCCAAAUCAUUAAAGCCUGGCACUUCAGAGCAGGGCUCGAGGGAAAAUGUCCCUGGCUCUCUGUGCCUUCCCUCCUGUAUUUCGAAAUAUAGAUGCUAAGCUUCAGUGCACCUUCCUGUUGGAUUUUCAAACAACUUGGUGUUUUACAGGCUUCAGGAUAUUAUAAAUAUUGGCUUUUUUUUUUUUUUUUUUCCUCUGAGCUGUUCAGGGCAUUUUAAUGCUUGGGCAGUGCAAUGUGAUGUGAGUAGCCGAAUGGAAAGAGCCAGGUUAAUGAUUCUCACAUCCCAGCAAACCCCAAACACAGAUCUCUCCGUGGGAACACUGCCCGAGGGUUAGAGAAGGCUACUGGGACGUCUCUCCCCAUCAGCCUCGGACCUCUACUUUGUUCUUAUCUAAAUACUACAUGUGCUAAUGCCUUCCCCGUGAAGCAGGCUACAUGGUUCUCAGUAAGACUUAAUGUUUUGAUGGCUAUUUGUGUGCAGAUGGAGGGUGGCCUGACAUGCUGUCCAAGUGGACCUGAAGCCAAGGGUCAGCGUCAUCCUGAUAUGAAGCACCUUGCAAGAAAAAAAGUAAAAUGCCUGAGACCAGUGCUGUAGGUGGCCAGUAUGAGGUAUCCUGCCAUCCUGCAUGUAGGCUGCAUCUUCAUAACCUGUACAUGAGCAGAAACUGAUUCCAUUCUGAUAUUUUUACCAUAAAUUCUACCGAGCUCCGCUUUAUUCAUCAUCUGCACCUGCAAAGGCUUUUCUGUGUCAUCUCAGAUUAAUUCCCCUUGAGUCUUCUUUGAUGAGACAUUCCACAUAUCCUAAAUUCAGGAUGUGAAAUGAAUGGAAAGCGGGGAUGAGAAAUGCCCUCUCUGAUCACAGCUCUGUCAAUGUCCUGAGCCUAUGCCACCUUUCAGGGGGAAAUUCAGACAAAGCUGAUGGAUGCGGCCAGCAGUCUCUGCAUGUCUAGACAAUCUGCAUAGUUUUCCUCAUCCAAACAGGCAAGUCUGAGACACUCAAGGCAAAACACUUUGGGGUGAGCUUUGAGUCCUUUCAGUAGCUCUUCAAGUCUCACCUUAACCUCAGCCGCCUUCUCUUUGUAUAUAUUGGGCUUGAACCCUUAGUUAAUGGAAACUUCUGAGAUUGCAUUUGGCACUGGGGACAACCCAUACGGGCAAAGCACCAGAGGAUGAAGCGUUUCCUAACUCCAUUUCAGGGCAAUUUAUCUGGGAAACACUGGCAGCACUUUUUCAACUGUGAUUGGGCUUAUUUUACACCUCAGAACAACCGAUGUUCUUGUUCUUAGUUGUGUUUGUUAUUUAACUCUACAGACUUCUCCAUUUAUUUGCUGUUCUUACUUUGAAUUAAUAAUGAUAAUAACAGCAGUUUUAAUGAAAAUAAGGAAAAAAUCAACUCCUUUUUUCUUUAAGGUACACAGCAUUGUUCCACUUGAUUGGCUAUAACAAACUCAACUCCUUUGAAAGUAAUGGAAUUACACUGCCAGCACAGUUCACUGGUCUGCCUCAUUUUGGAUAAUUCAUCUCCCUUAAUGUCUCAGCCACACUGAAGCACAGCAUCACUUGCUAAGCUGUGGGAGCUCAGCAUUGCAACCCGGCAGUCCCAAAUCUCAGCCAUGCCCUGAAAGCACCAAACGCUCAAAUUGGCAUAAUAAGGCCAAGGACCCACUCUGAGUGUGUGAUCCAAGUAUUUCAUUGAGAAUAAAGGGGAACGAGGUGGUUUAUUUAGCCAGAUGUCACCUAAGGUUUAGAAAUGCACCUGUUUAAAAAUCCAACUGAAAAUUCACCAAGUCCACCUUCCUGUGUCAGAGUUCAGGUAUUUAUAUCACAGAGUUCACAACCAGAUACCACUAAAUGGGGCUACCUACUAUACUUGCUUGAAUCAGCCCAACAACUCUACCUGCUGAUAAAAAGCAUGAUUUCAGAGAAUAUCAGUUUUUAACAGGGAUACCGUUCUAACACAGAGCACUGAGAAGUUCAUCGGGCUGCCAGCUAGCUGGGGAUGUCGUCUGCCACGUCUCAUGCAGCGUGUGUCCAUUAGGAAAGGAGUCACAUUUAGCACACUACAAUUUACCUGCAUGAUUAACCAUUGGCGGUGUUUUGGAUGUCUAAUGAGAUUAUAUUGGGUUUAUGUACAAUUUCCUAAGUAGGCUGACUGAUAGAUUGAUCAAGGGUAGAUGGGAUCUGACAGCAGAAUAUUAUGGCAGAAUUCUUCCAGUGAUGGAUGAGCCCACCUUGACACAAACUCCAAAGCUUCGCCUCUUAGUAAUAAAUCUCAGCAUGAAGUCAUCUGUCUCUGACCUGAAGCUUGAAAUCAACAACUCAGGAUACUGAAGUUUCAUCCUCUUUAUGAACAUUUAAGUUGCCUCAAUGGCAUAAAUACACACCUCCCACAUUCAAUCUCUUUAAUUGUGGCAGGCCUUACGUUGAUUUUAUUUUUAUUUUUCUGUUUUACAAAAGCUGGGGAAUCACAACCAAUUCUUUCUCUAGCCAAGGAGAUCACUGCGAAUAGAUUGCGUUCUGCAUGAUGCUUAAUGAGCCAUGAUUGGGAUAGGUGAGGGGAAAUGGCACUUUGGAUUGAUUUAGAAAGGAUUCAGUGGAGGCAGUGUACAACUCCACAAAUAGCAGCAGGUCUUAUGGGGUGCCAUAGAAUUAUAUAACAGGAACCUCAAGUAAAACCUUCAAAAUGCGCUGCUGACUUGGGAAUUUAUCUCUUAUUUUCAAAGGCUAUUUAAAGCCAGAUUCUGGAAAAUACAGCUAGUGCAGCAGAAAUGCUGUCACAUCCUGAAGCAGUGAUUGAGCACCUGGUGGGAUGUCAGGGCCUACCCAGGGAAGCUCAGGUGCAUGCAAUGCAAUGCAAUGCAAUGCAAUGCAGCUGUGUGACCGGAAGGGAUGGAGCCAGGAUCCACCCCUUCCCAGCUCUCAUUUAAGGGCUGGCAGUGGAGGUGAGAGUAUCUGUCUGGAGAUCUCUGUCUUCCUGAGGCCUUUUGAAGGUAAGUAUUUAUUUACUUACUUAUUUAUUUAUUUAUUUAUUUGCAUUCACAGCUGUUGUUGUAUUUGGUCUUGUCUGUAUUUGCUGCAGCCAUUGACUUUGCCACUCUGCUAUUGUCAUUGGGUUUUCCAUUACUCAGAGGGCUUUUUCGAAGCAACAGAGUGAGUAACUUUCAGCAGGAGGUUAUCACAUAGGCUUAGAAAACAAAGUAAACAUUUUCCUGAAGCCCACUUGUAGAAUGUUCUGUAUACUCUUGAACUUAGAAGUUGAAAUAUAUCAUUCCUUGUUCCUAAGUUGUAGUAUGCACAGAAUAUAGGAUGGCUCACUGUGGUGGUCAUACUAUUCAGAAUUAGUAAUCUAAUUUGACCAGGAUGUGAUCCCAGGCCACUGAAGAUACUGUUGCCCUAUUUUUUAAAGGGAUUUUAGCACCUAAUUCUUACCAGUUUCAGUGAGAUUCGUGUGCAUAGGUCCUCAGAUCAAGUUUACUUCCACUCAUAAUGUAAAAAUGUGAGGUGGUGUAAUAGAAGCCCCCUAAGCCCUGUGUUGGUAGACAUUAUGGGUACGUACUGUAGCUCCCUGACUUAAGUAAUGCAUUCAGGUGACCUACUGUAGAUGUCUUCAUCUGUCAAAACCAGGAAACAGGGUAGCUAAGAGACGAUUCUGGAGUAUUCUGAGAUCACAGCAGUCUGGUAUUUAAGGAGGUUAAUGCAAUACUAACAGGGGCCUGACUAAAGAGUUCAUAAGACAGAUGAACCCACCUGAAUUUUGAGAGUUUGAGCAGGUAGAUUUUUAACUCGUAUUCAGUACUGCUUUGGGUGUUUCUCCUCUUUAAAUAAAAGGGAGGAGAUUACCAGGAGAUUGCCAUAAUUGACAGCUUUUUUUUACCAACUUUCUUGUCUGCAUCUUCUGGGUUUAGGAUGGCUGAUAACAUAACAAUGUCAUGGCCAAUGAGAAAAAUCAACUUGGAGGACAAAAUUCACCUCCUGACUAACUCCGGUAGACCUAAGUGCACUCUGAGAUUUUAUUUCUGCUAAUAUCAAAGUCUAGAAACUGAUGUAGCUGUAUUAUUGUCAACCCCUGUAGUGAGGCUGGGGAAGUAGGAAUAACAGUUAAGAUAGCCCUGUGUGAAUAAUUCAUAGGGAAUAAUUUAUUUGAUGAAUUGACCUUUUUUUUUUUUUUCCCUUGUCCGUGGCCCUAUCCUCAAGCAGCCUCUGAUUAUUUUUUUUUCUCUUUUCUGUUGUUACUCAAAUUGAAAAUAUCUGCUGAAUAAUUUCUGAGGAUAAUUCUUGUUCUGCAAAUUUGUCCCUGAGCAGUUUGCUGUGAACAUUUGGUAUCUGAAAUUCCAGUGCUCGCCAGACACACAGAUCUCGUGUUGUUAUUCCCAUUCUUUGCAUAAAGGGGACAUAUAUUUGAAACAGUACAUUUUCCACUCUAACUAUUGGCAGUUAAGAGUCCUUUAAUGUAGCGUUAAGCUUGGCAAGGUGUGUAUUUGAUUAUAAGCCCUCAGUACUGAUUUGUAUGAGAUAAAUAACAUGUAUAAGGGAAGGGAAUAAGGCUUUUCUUCAGGGAUUUUCUUAUCACCCUGUAGGUGCCUCCUUCUUGGCUCUUAGCUGCCCAAUAAGAGCUCAAGAAAGCCACGAGUCAAGGGGAACAAAUUCUCAUUUGAAGUAGAAUAAGCCAAACUGUCACCCCUGUCAGCAGCCCAGAGCUGAGUAGAACCUCCACCUCACCUGGAGCCAGCCCAAAUCUUCAAGACUUGCCCAGCCUGCUAAGCCUGAUGCAGAAAUAAUACUAAAACUUGGUGUCUUUGGUAAUAUUAAACUAUUCUUUAUUUUACAGCUCCCACUGUGGUUUCUGAAUGCUUUGGUGCUGAGCAGCUCCUCAAUUCCCUCUGAGGCACAAUCAUUUGUUUACUUGCUCUGCUCAUUUCAUUCUGCACUUGUGUAUGGCAACUACAAGAUGGCAUGUCGACUUUGAGAAUUUGGGGGGAAAAAGGGAGCGAGACAGUUAAAAGUUCCAGCCCUGAAAGCUUUUGACACAUCUUUCUGUCCAUGUAAUCAAUCUUCUAAGUUUCCAAGAGCAGCUGAGAUUUUUAAAAACAGCUGUAAUCUGUGGUCAUUGAUGGUGGAGUAGAUUGUUUGCCAAACUAUUACCAUAACUGUCAACCGAAAUCAGAAAAAUAAUCUCAUUGUGCUGGACAGAUGCCUUUCCUGCAUUAUUGAUAUAGUCGCUGCAGAGUAAUGGAGAAAUAUAAAGCAUUGUUCUAUUUACAAAAGGAGAUUGGCCAAGUCCUUGAGAGUGAGCAGGAGGGACAGGCACUUAAAGGAAGUGAGAUAUAGUCAACUCAGUAAAAGUUAUGUGUCAGGGUCAUGUGGCCUCCAUAGUCAGCAGUAGAAUCUCAGUUUUCAAUAGCUUUUCCUCUCCUUUCUCACUUUCAGAUUUAGCUCCAUAGCUUAAUCUCUGACUAAAUGAGCUUACUAGUGUAGCACCAUGGAAUUCGCACAGCUUUUCCCCCUUGCCUCUGGCUGCCCCAAAUGCAUCUCGGGGACUGCCACGCUUCCAGAACAUGCUGAAAACAGUGCAUUCACCAUGCUCCACUUGAUAGCAAGGAUAAAGCAAGUCAGCACUGCCCAGUAGGUUACAAUACAGGAGAGUUUUGUUUGCUUGCCAUCGAGAUACUUCUGAAAACACUGUGCAAAGCAAUGAACUAAAUGUGAGCAUUGCAGCAAAUCCUUAGGCAGAUGGAGCAGCCAGCCUGCAUUUAGCCGUAGCGCCCACAGAGUCUUUUGCUGUUACAAAUGUUUGUAUAUAGAGAGGGGCCCAAUUUUGCUUCAGAAUCUGCUACAGUGAACCCAUAACCCCAAGUUCCCCAUUUAUAGCACAAAUGAAUAAAUAUCUAUAUAUUCAGAGGACUGGAGGUGGUACUGGAGCUUCUAUUUUCAUCUGAACACCAUGCAGGGGUCAAGUACAGUGAAAGUCCCGUGAUCAGCUGAGGACAGGCUCUGGGAGAUGCAUGGUUCCAUGUCCCCUUUAAUUUUAAUUUAUUUUAAAAUUACCUCACAUUUCACUGCAGGGGAAAGUUUCUUUUCUCAUCAGCUUUUUGAAAAUAUAAAAUUGGAUUUUAUUAUUUUUUUUUUUUAGCAGGAAUUAUCAGUGUAAGUAGCCCUUGGUUUCUCUUGAAAAGAGAGAUUAGCUGUUACAAAAUGACAGUGGUUUUUAGCUUGUUCUUGUUGAAAAGCAGCUAUCUGAGAUCCAAGCCUUAUUUUGGAAGUAAUAUAAGUACUCUUCAGUAGCUUAAUGUUUUGAGGUAAUACAUGGCUUUUGCCUUUCUUUCUGGGGACAAAAACAUACAGAUGUACUCUUUGUCUCACCGCAAAUAAAGAUGGAAGUAAAAUCAGUUCAUCAAAUUGGGUGUAAUGAGAAUUAUUGUCAUGGUAUAAAAAUAAAUUAAUUAACAACAACAAAACUGGUUUUGCCUCAGUCUGUGUAAGAGCCACCACAGUGAAGUGAACCAAAACAACAAAAAACAACAGGGCUAAUUGGAGGACAAAUUCUUCCUGGUUAGUCGUGGUCAAUAAAUAGCUCAGGCCCAUCACGUGGGCUGUAAAACAUUUGUAGCUUUCACAUGAGAGCAACUUACUGUGAGCAAAAUGCCUGACCGGCCUCAUGCAGAAUAAACUGUGGCCAGGGAAAGAGUGCAUGAAGUGUCCUUGACACUGUAUUUGUCUUGACUCACUCUCUCCUGCUUCCAAGUUGUGUUCUACUUACUGAGAUGCUCCAAAUCCAUUAGCACGUGCCAUGGCCAA
rnacentral:lncRNA from 1 species